GGCGAACGCUGGCGGCGUGCUUAACACAUGCAAGUCGAACGGUGAAGGGGCCUGCUUUUGUGGGCCCUGGAUGAGUGGCGAACGGGUGAGUAACACGUGAGUAACCUGCCCCCUUCUUCUGGAUAACCGCAUGAAAGUGUGGCUAAUACGGGAUAUUCUGGGUCUGUCGCAUGAUGGGUCUGGGAAAGAUUGCGCCUUUGGGUGUUUUUGGUGGGGGAUGGGCUCGCGGCCUAUCAGCUUGUUGGUGGGGUGAUGGCCUACCAAGGCGGUGACGGGUAGCCGGCCUGAGAGGGUGGACGGUCACACUGGGACUGAGACACGGCCCAGACUCCUACGGGAGGCAGCAGUGGGGAAUAUUGCACAAUGGGCGCAAGCCUGAUGCAGCGACGCCGCGUGAGGGAUGGAGGCCUUCGGGUUGUAAACCUCUUUCGCCAGUGAAGCAGGCCUGCUCCUUGUGGGUGGGUUGACGGUAGCUGGAUAAGAAGCGCCGGCUAACUACGUG
rnacentral:rRNA from 1 species